AAGCGGUGGAGCAUGUGGUUAAUUCGAAGCAACGCGAAGAACCUUACCAGGUCUUGACAUCCCUGACAACCCGAGAGAUCGGGCGUUCCCCUUCGGGGGGACAGGGUGACAGGUGGUGCAUGGUUGUCGUCAGCUCGUGUCGUGAGAUGUUGGGUUAAGUCCCGCAACGAGCGCAACCCUCGACCUUAGUUGCCAGCAUUCAGUUGGGCACUCUAAGGUGACUGCCGGCUAAAAGUCGGAGGAAGGUGGGAUGACGUCAAAUCAUCAUGCCCCUUAUGACCUGGGCUACACACGUGCUACAAUGGUUGGUACAACGAGUUGCGAGUCGGUGACGGCGAGCUAAUCUCUUAAAGCCAAUCUCAGUUCGGAUUGUAGGCUGCAACUCGCCUACAUGAAGUCGGAAUCGCUAGUAAUCGCGGAUCAGCACGCCGCGGUGAAUACGUUCCCGGGCCUU
rnacentral:rRNA from 1 species